rnacentral:rRNA from 1 species
GUGUGACCCCAGGUCAAGCGGGUCCACCUGUCGAGCUU